CCCUUAGAUGUCCGGGGCUGCACGCGCGCUACACUGAAGGAAUCAGCGUGCUAAAACCAUUGUCGAAAGGCAUUGGUAAACCCAUUAAAACCCUACGUGAUUGGGAUCGGGAAUUGCAAUUAUUUCCCUUGAACGAGGAAUUCCCAGUAAGUGUGGGUCAUAAGCUCGCGUUGAUUACGUCCCUGCCCUUUGUACACACCGCCCGUCGCUGCCCGGGACUGAGCCGUUUCGAGAAAAGCGGGGACUGCUGCUGUCGGGGCUUUCGGGCCUUGGCUUCGGUGGAAACCGCUUUAAUCGCAGUGGCUUGAACCGGGCAAAAGUCGUAACA
rnacentral:rRNA from 1 species